rnacentral:rRNA from 1 species
AUGUGGAGUGCGGAAUCAGACUGUCGUUGCCACUGCUCAUGCCGUGUUGAAACAGAGAAAGUUGCCAGCAAAAUUUUGGGGGGAGGCGGUCACAACUUCAGUUUUCUGCUGAAUCGAGCCCCGACCAAAAGUAUGGCUGGCAUGACGGCCACGGGAGGAAGCCUGCUGUCCAGCACCUGCACACCUUUGGGUGUGUGGUGUACGUCAAGGACGUACGCCCUCAGCUUCGCAAGCCCGUUGAUCGCUGCUCCGCCAUGGUCUCUUCAUCGGCUACGACAAGCGCGUCAAGGGCUGCUGCACAUACGAACAAGCGUGUCUAUAUCACUUGUGAUGUCAUCUUCGAUGAAGAGGCCAGCUUUUAUUGGACGGCCGUGCAGUGACUUCAUCAUCAUGAAGAUCCAGCAAGCUGCUUCUUCCACACCAAGUGCAGCUGCAGGGGGAGCACCUUCCCCUGUUCCUGCACCAUCUCCUGCUGCACAGCCAUCUCCAGCAUCGCUGCCAACAACAUCAAGCCAAUCUCCACAGGCAACACAGCUUGAGUUCGUGUCACCGCCACGCGAUGACAACGAGCGGUUGGACACAAGUCAUGAUGACUCACUGCUGCGCUAUCAGGGCAUUGACAAGGUGAUCGGCAGCACCCUUGUUGUAUAG